CCUACGGGGGGCAGCAGUGGGGAAUAUUGCGCAAUGGGCGAAAGCCUGACGCAGCGACGCCGCGUGAGGGAUGAAGGUCUUCGGAUCGUAAACCUCUGUCAGCAGGGAAGAACGGACACUGUGCUAAUCAGCAGUGAAUUGACGGUACCUGCAAAGGAAGCACCGUCUAACUCCGUGCCAGCAGCCGCGGGAAUACGGAGGGUGCGAGCGUUAAUCGGAAUUACUGGGCGGAAAGCGAUCGUAGGCGGGCAUGCAAGUCAAGGGUGAAAUCCCCGGGCUCAACGUGGGAACUGCCUUUGAAACUGGAUAACUGGAGUGUAUGAGAGGUUAGUGGAAUUCCAGGUGUAGGAGUGAAAUCCGUAGAUAUCUGGAGGAACAUCAGUAGCGAAGGCGACUAUCUGGCACAUAACUGACGCUGAGGAGCGAAAGCGUGGGUAGCAAACAGGAUUAGAUACCCGAGUAGUC
rnacentral:rRNA from 1 species